UACGAAGGGGGGCUAGCGUUGUUCGGAAUUACUGGGCGUAAAGCGCGCGCAGGCGGCUAUCCAAGUCAGUGGUGAAAGCCCGGAGCUCAACUCCGGAACUGCCAUUGAAACUGUUUAGCUUGAGGAUGAGAGAGGUGAGUGGAAUUCCCAGUGUAGAGGUGAAAUUCGUAGAUAUUGGGAGGAACACCAGUGGCGAAGGCGCUCACUGGACUGUAUUGACGCUGAGGUGCGAAAGCGUGGGGAGCAAACAGG
rnacentral:rRNA from 1 species